GAGUUUGAUCAUGGCUCAGAACGUACGCUGGCGGCACGCCUAACACAUGCAAGUCGAACGCAGUAGCAAUACUGAGUGGCGAACGGGUGAGUAUAAUGUAGGUAUCUGCCUUUUGGUUUGGAAUAACACGGGGAAACCUGUGCUAAUACCGGAUAAGCCUUCACAGGGAAAGUUUUAACGCCAAAAGAUGAGCCUGCACUUGAUUAGCUAGUUGGUAAGGUAAUGGCUUACCAAGGCUACGAUCAAUAGCUGUUCUUAGAGGAAGAUCAGCCACAUUGGGACUGAGACACGGCCCAAACUCCUACGGGAGGCAGCAGUGGGGAAUAUUGCACAAUGGGGGAAACCCUGAUGCAGCGAUGCCGCGUGAGUGAAGAAGGCCUUUGGGUUGUAAAGCUCUUUCGUCGGGGAAGAAAAUGACUGUACCCGAAUAAGAAGGUCCGGCUAACUUCGUGCCAGCAGCCGCGGUAAUACGAAGGGACCUAGCGUAGUUCGGAAUUACUGGGCUUAAAGAGCUCGUAGGUGGUUAGAAAAGUUGGUGGUGAAAUCCCAAGGCUUAACCUUGGAACUGCCAUCAAAACUUUUUAACUAGAGUAUGAUAGAGGAAAGUGGAAUUUCUAGUGUAGAGGUGAAAUUCGUAGAUAUUAGAAAGAACACCAAUUGCGAAGGCAGCUUUCUGGAUCAUUACUGACACUGAGGAGCGAAAGCAUGGGUAGCGAAGAGGAUUAGAUACCCUCGUAGUCCAUGCCGUAAACGAUGUGUGCUAGACGUUGGAAAUUUAUUUUUCAGUGCCGCAGCAAAAGCGAUAAGCACACCGCCUGGGGAGUACGACCGCAAGGUUAAAACUCAAAUGAAUUGACGGGGACCCGCACAAGUAGUGGAGCAUGUGGUUUAAUUCGAAGAUACGCGCAGAACCUUGCCGACACUUGACAUGUUCGUCGCGACUCUAAGAGAUUAGAGUCUUCGGUUCGGCCGGACGAAACACAGGUGCUGCAUGGCUGUCGUCAGCUCGUGUCGUGAGAUGUUGGGUUAAGUCCCGCAACGAGCGCAACCCCUAUCCUUAGUUGCCAGCGAGUCAAGUCGGGAACUCUAAGGAGACUGCCCCGGAAAUCGGGGAGGAAGGUGGGGAUGACGUCAAGUCCUCAUGGCCUUUAUGUCCAGGGCUACACACGUGCUACAAUGGGCGGUACAGCGGGUAGCGAAAUCGCGAGAUGGAGCCAAUCCCUAAAGCCGUCCUCAGUUCGGAUUGCAGUCUGCAACUCGACUGCAUGAAGUUGGAAUCGCUAGUAAUCCCGGAUCAGCAUGCCGGGGUGAAUACGUUCCCGGGCCUUGUACACACCGCCCGUCACAUCACGAAAGUCGGUUGUACCGGAAGCCGGUGGGCUAACCUUCGGGAGGCAGCUGUCCAUGGUAUGAUUGGCGAUUGGGGUGAAGUCGUAACAAGGUAACC
rnacentral:rRNA from 1 species